GAAUGAUUACACAGACAGGAUGUGAGAUAUCAUAACAUCCAGGUCGGAGGUGAGGAUUGCUGGUGCGGAGGACUGGGCACAAAGGGGACAUUGAUGAGACUGGCUGCAGGUCGUGGGGUGAAGAUGAAAUAUUCUGUGGGUCAUCUGACUGAUUCACUGAGGAUGGUCGAAGAAAGGAGAAAUAACACUGGGUUGAUAUUAAAUCUAACUUUGGAGAUUAUUUACCUGUUGACUGGAGAGAAGUAUGAGCCAGUGAAGAAGUCCAGAAAGAAUGUGAUCCCUACUUGGGAACCACAUGUGUCAGAUGGAAGGAGCAAGACUCAUAAAAGAAACAAUGAAAGAGAAGAUCCUAAAUCUCACAACAAGAUCAUUGGAUUGCUCACUGGAGAGGUUCCUAUAAGGUGUCAGGAUGUCACUGUCUAUUUCUCCUGGAGGAGUGGGAGUAUUUAGAGGGACACAAGGAUCUCUACAAGGAUGUAAUUAUGGAGAAUCACCAAAUACUCAAAUCAUCAGAUGUGAACAUGGCCAUAUGCAUGACAUUUUGGUGGCAUUGCCUGAUAAUCUAAUGUAUAGGUGGGCCUCUAGCAUUGUCCUCCAGUGUCUGCCUUCAGGGGGUAAGAGUGACUGGGCACAUUGGAUACUCUUCUUUUAGCAGAUGAUCAAGUUCCAGUAAUCCACCUGAGAAAUUUCCAAGUCCUAAUUUUCACAUUCAUCCCAUGGGAAAUUCUGUGUCCACCAUGAUAAUCAGGAUGAAGAAUCCAUCCGGAUUAAAGUUGAGGAAAUUCAUGAAGAGGAAGCAACAUAUGUAAUGCAUGAACAGAAGUAUGAGGAGGAGGAACAUCCUACUUGUAUUAAGACAGCAGAAACACACGGGAACGGUAAUAGUUUGGCUGGACAUCUCAUUCUAUAUCCAGAUUGUAAAGGUGGAGACAGAAACAUCAUAGGACAUCUUCCAGGAGAAAACUCUGUUAUGCUGAAUAUACACCCCGCCCUUCAUGGCUUAGAUCAAUCCUAUAACCCCACCAUAAUUGGAGGUUAUCCCUCUGAUUUAUCACAUAUUAUUGAGCACAGUUCACCUCAUCUCAGUGAUAAUAUAUACACAGAUUCAGAUUCUCAAAAGUAUUUUACUUUGAUAAAUGACCCUGCAGUGAAACAGUUUUCAUCUUCUGAAUAUGGAAAUCAGUUUAAGUUCAAAUGUAUCUUUCCAAACAUUCCGAGGAUUCACAGAGUGGACAAACCAUUUCCGUGCUAUGAAUCCGGUCGAGGUUUGCACAGAAAUCUAAUCUCAUGAAUCAUCCCUAAAACGCAUUUCAUACAGGGGAGCACAGCAUUUGAAUGUUCUCAAUGUGGGAAAAGGUUUACCAAGAAGUCCAAUCUCCUCGAACAUCUUCGCGUUCACACAGGGGAGAAACCAUUUCCAUGUUCUGAAUGUGGGAAAUGUUUCAAGAAUAAAUUCAUCUGGUGGAGCAUCGGAGAACUCACACAGGGGAGAAGCCAUUUCCAUGUUCUGAGUGUGGAAAAGGUUUCACAAACAAGUCCAGGCUUCUUGAACAUCUCGAAUCCACACGGGUGAGAAGCCGUUUUCUUGUUCACAGUGUGGCAAGUCAUUCACAAAGAAAUCAAACCUGGUUAUACAUCAGAGAAGGUCAACGUCACUUAUGACGACAGAAGCAUCUUUUGCUGCAUAUGUAAACAUAUUUCUUUAUGAAUUUGGCCAAUAAAAUAGCAAAAUUCGAUAAAGGAAAAAUAGGAAAUCUUA